GCCCCGGGCACGCCCCCUCUCGGCCACGCCCCGCGCCCCCUUCCUGGGCCCAGCCCGCCCCGGUCCCCCCAGCCUGGCCACCCCGGGGCUGCGCGCCGCACCCUCACCCCGGGUCGCCGUGGUCGCCCCCCCUUCCCCUUGUCUGCAGCCCGUUCCCCCGGCGCCCCAGAUCCGUGGCCCCGUGGGGCGACUCAAUGUCCCCCACCCCGCCCCGGACGCCGGCCCCACGGAGGAAUGCGCUGCGGCCCGCCCUGCCCGCGGUGACUCACUGCCGGGGAGCCGCGGGAAGCGCCCGAGGCCGGGGACAGCCCGGGGCGCGGUGACGGCGGGACUCAGACCUCCACCCUCCAGGCGCCCCGACACCCAGCCCUGCCGCUCGUGGGGCAGAUGCAGUCGCGGCCCCAGUUCCUCCCAGGCCCCCGGGGAGACCCUUCGGUGGCCCUGCCCCAGCCGGCCUUAUCUCCCAUCUUGCCACCCGCCGGCCGGCGCGCCUGGGACGACCUGCCCUCUUCCCCCUGGGUCGUCGGGCCGACCGGGAGAGCAGGUGUUCUGAACUUCAGUUUUCUCUUCUGUAAAAUGGGGGACGAUGACACUUGUUGGAUUAGGCAACGCACGGAAAAUGCUAGAACAGCUCCCCUUAGUGUUCAGGUUUAACAGGAAGUGAUCGCUGGCUCCUCCAGGGUUCCCGGGGGGCGGGGGGGGGGUGGCGGCAGAAGGGAAUCUACGGGGGCCCCAGCCGCUCCGGGGCCAGCACCUUCCAACACCCCGCCGGGCUGUGACCUGGGCAGGUGGUGCAAAGCAAGGGGAGCAAGGAGGGCACGAGUCCGUUGGGGCUGUGAGAGCCACGCCCCCUCCUGGUGCAAGAUGGAAACGCAGGUACCCUGGUUCAAAAAGUAUUAAUGAUAUUUUCAGGACUGUGAAGGCAGAGCAUAAAGCCAAUGUGGGACCUUCUGGGUGCGGGACCGUCCGGCCGGCCGUGGAGCCAACCCUGCCCCACCUGCCCCCGCUCUGCGGCCUUGGGCAAGUCCCAACCCUGGCCCUUCAGGGUCACCGUGAGGAAUAAGGUGCACCGCUGGCUCAGAUGAGUGGCUUGGGCCAGGCCUCUGCAGAUGGACACACCCACCUGUGCGUCCAGGGCAACUGUCAGCGGUGUGGCAGAGGGCAGGGGGUGCCCAGGACUCUGGCCUGCGGGAGGGAGCACAGGACAAGCAUAGGGAUGCUGGUCAGUGUUGGGGGGAGGGGCGGAGCUGGAAUCGGCAGGCCCGUGGGGUGGCAGGCCAGAGGGUGAAGGGAGCACAGGGUGGGUGGGUGGGGAGACAGAUCUCCCCUCAAGACAACACAGGGCAGACUUAUAAGGGGGUGAGCUCCCCAUCACUACAGGCAUCCCAGCAGAGCUGGUAAAGGGGAUUCCAGCAUCAGGCGGGGUGAGACUGCUGACCCGCCUUCCCGCAGGCUCUCUGUCCUGAGGGGGCCCUGGGCUGUCGGGGCCACGGGAGAGGCAGCCCAGGGGCCAGGCUGCUGCCUCUAGGAAGCCACUGUGAGCCCCCUGGGUGUCCAGCGCUCUGCCGGGACCCCUCCAAGGCCCACCAGCCCGUUUCCCCCACCCGGGGGCCAGUCAUUGGAACCUCAGGGCCAGGCAAACCACAGACACUCGGCACUGCUUAAGCACCUACUGUGUGUCUGUAAGCCUGGCUGGUGCUAGGACCCCGAGGAGAGGGGAGAGGGGAGAAGCCCUGCCUGCCCUGGGGAGUAUGGGGUUGGGGGUGGGCAAGAGGACAGCUUGGAGGUCUCCAUGGGGAGGGCGGGGUGCCACAGGGGGAUUCCCAAGGAGCCCAGGUGAGCGAGGCCCAAGGUGGGCAUUCUUCCAGCCCCAUUUCACAGACGUGGUAGCGGAGGCCCCAGGGAGGGCGGGGCAAGAGAGACAGGAAGGGAUGUGAGAGGUCUUGAAAACCAGGUGAGGCCAGGUGAGCUGCACUUCCGCCAUGCCCACCCAGCGCUCCUCUCUUUGUCCCCAACAGCCAGGCCUUUCUGGGGAGAGUCAGUCGGUGACCAAUGACCUGCGGGGGGGGGGGUGGUCUGAGAGGUGGGCGUCCACGGGAGCUGGGAAAGCAGGUCACAGGGGGUGGGGAGCCCACUGCCACUCUCCCCGGAGGAUGGGGAUGGGCUGGUGGAAAUCCCCCCCAGGCAGCUUCACCACCAACGCCCCUGCCCCGGGGGGCCUGGAAACCCCUCCAGCCAGAGGCCCGUGGGCCGCCUGGCCAAACCAGCAGGAACCCAGAGCAAGGAGGGGACCCUGUCCCCACGCCUGAAGCAGGCCCGUCUGAGGGUCCCUCUGGAACAUGAGGAGGAAGCAAAGCGCUGACCUUGCAACCCCAGCGAAGGUCUCUCAGGGAGACACCCCUGAACCAUUUGAUAGCUAGGAGCCCAGAGGACCCACCAGGCUGGCUUCCUGCAGGGGACCGAGGCCCCCAGUGCGGAUGCGGGCUGCGGCCCAUCAGGGCGCCAGGCCAGGGCCGCAUCCGGGAUUCACGCGGAGCCUGAGGAGACCCUCACCCCCCACCCCCUGUCCCACCAGGCAGACGAGACUGGUCCCCAGACAUCCGGCUGGGGACACCUGUCAUCCCUUCCAGCUGGGUGAGGAUGUCAGGC